rnacentral:rRNA from 1 species
UACGAGGGGGGCAAGCGUUGUUCGGAUUUAUUGGGCGUAAAGGGUGCGUAGGCGGUCUGGCAAGUCUUGUGUGAAAUCUUCGGGCUCAACCCGAAGUCUGCACAAGAAACUGCCGGGCUUGAGUAUGGGAGAGGUGAGUGGAAUUUCCGGUGUAGCGGUGAAAUGCGUAGAUAUCGGAAGGAACGCCGGCGGCGAAAGCGGCUUGCUGGACCCCAUCUGACGCUGAUGCGCGAAAGCCAGGGGAGCGAACGGG